GUAAAGAUGAAAAAAAAAGAAAAUCCAGCAAGUUAAUUGCAUUUCAUACCUUAGGUGGUACAUGAAUCAGCAUCAUCACAACUUCACAUUUUUCUCAAGGAUUAAUUCUCUCAGCUAGGGAAAGAAAACUAUUCUUUUCUUCCCCUAGUGAUGUACUUGGUUACUAAUGAAGCACAUGCAAAGCUAACCAACAGAAGUGUUAAAUUAAAGACAAUUUGAAAGAUUAACAGCAUUCAGCUGUGUUGCUGAAGGGGGGGAUUAUCUGAUUAGUGCCACACCCCAGUUGUGCUAAUUGAAGUGAAGAUCAGGACGGAAAGACCAAGCCUCAAAAGGACUGAAUUCUACCACAAUGGAAGCAGACACUGUGGUCUAGAUUCCAGGAUCUUAUGGACUCCUUUCCAUUACAGGAAGGUGGCCUGAUUUCAACAGCAAUCCAUACCAAUGAUUUUGAUGGCAGAGCCGGUAAAGCUUUCAAAGGUGGGUUGGAAAUAGAAAUCAGAAGUGCUCACCUAUGAUUUUUUCAAGGCUAAAGAAAUAUUUGAAGUCUUU
rnacentral:lncRNA from 1 species